rnacentral:rRNA from 1 species
CUUGGUGAUUAUGGCACAGAUGUCCCACCCGAUCCCAUUCCGAACUCGGCCGUGAAAUUCUGUAGCGCUGAUGGUACUGCAUCUUAAGGUGUGGGAGAGUAAGUCGUUGCCAGGC